UACAGAGGGUGCGAGCGUUGUCCGGAAUUAUUGGGCGUAAAGGGCUCGUAGGCGGUUUGUCGCGUCGGGAGUGAAAACUCAGGGCUUAACCCUGAGCCUGCUUCCGAUACGGGCAGACUAGAGGUAUGCAGGGGAGAACGGAAUUCCUGGUGUAGCGGUGAAAUGCGCAGAUAUCAGGAGGAACACCGAUGGCGAAGGCAGGUCUCUGGGCAUUAACUGACGCUGAGGAGCGAAAGCAUGGGGAGCGAACAGG
rnacentral:rRNA from 1 species